rnacentral:lncRNA from 1 species
UUCCUUCCUUCCUUCCUUCCUUCCUUCCUUCUUUCCUUCCUUCUUUCUUUCUUUCUUUCUUUUUUUCUUUCUCCUUUUUUUCUUUUUUUUUUUUUUUUUUGCUCUGUUGCCCAGGCUGGAGUGCAGUGGCGUGAUCUUGGCGCACUGCAACCUCCACCUUCUGGGUUCAAGUGAUUCUCCUGCCUCAGCCUCCUGAGUAGCUGAGACUACAGGUGUGCACCACCACACCUGGCUAAUCUUUGUAUUUUCAGUACUGAUGGGGUUUCACCGUGUUGGCCAGGCUGGUCUCGAACUCCUGGCCUCAGGUGAUCUGCCCCCCUCAGCCUCCCAAGGUGCUGGGAUUACAGGUGUGAGCCACUGUGCCUGGACCCCUUGUUGCUUUUCUUAAAUAAAGAAACAAAAACAACAAAAAAUGAAAGUAGAACUUUGCAGUCCAGCUUUUUGUCCUUCCCUCUUUCCUUCAAAGCAUUUGUCUUCCUUUUUCUGCUCCUUAGCCAGGCAAUGGACUCUGGCAUGUUGGCUUCCCUGGCUCUGGUUUCUUCCACUCCAGCUCAUUUUCCUUCUCUGCCACACCAUCUCAUAGGCACCUUUCACCCAACGAAUAUGGGUGGAGCAGCUCACAUGUCCAAGCUCUGUGCUGGGCCCUGGAGACACAAAGGCAAAUCCAAUCUUUGUGUAGAGAAAACUUGUACACAAAACUCUCCAUCUCCUAGGGAUCUAUCUUUCCUCCAUAUUAUGUUCCUUUUUUAUUUCUUCCACUCUCUCUCCUCAGAAUAUUUUUAUUUCCAUCUUGACUGCUGUUAGAGGUCUCCUAUGAGAAGGAAAUUAUCUAUAAUGGAACAGGAACAUUAAAAGCCUCAGUUUCCUUGGUAAUUAUUGAACUCAUAAGGGGUUCACAUCGGGUUUUGAAUUUUAAGAACUAAGUUAGAAGAAACUUUGUUUUUCUAACCAGAUUAUUUUAACACUUGCCCUUUCUAGUUCUUCUUCAGAUAUUGGUUUUUAAACUUCAGACUGAGAAUUUUCUGUAAGCUCCAGUCAAUGCCAGAUUAUGAAGAAAUGCCUUUCCAAAUUCCUAAACCUGAACUAAACAUGUCAAAGGUAGGAAGCCUGGAAGCAGCUGGUACCUGCAUCUCUGAAUGAGCAAGUUUGAAUGCAUUUAGGCAACA